rnacentral:rRNA from 1 species
AUUGAACGCUGGCGGCAGGCCUAACACAUGCAAGUCGAGCGGAUGAAGGGAGCUUGCUCCUGGAUUCAGCGGCGGACGGGUGAGUAAUGCCUAGGAAUCUGCCUGGUAGUGGGGGAUAACGUCCGGAAACGGGCGCUAAUACCGCAUACGUCCUGAGGGAGAACGGGGGGGAGCAUCGGACCUCACGCUAUCAGAUGAGCCGAGGUCGGAUUAGCUAGUUGGUGGGGUAAAGGCCUACCAAGGCGACGAUCCGUAGCUGGUCUGCGGGGAUGAUCAGCCACACUGAAACUGAGACAGGGUCCAGACUCCUACGGGAGGCGGCAGUGGGGAAUAUUGGACAAUGGGCGAAAGCCUGAUCCAGCAAUCCCGCGUGGGUGAAGAAGGCCUUCGGGUUGUAAAGCCCUUUUGUUGGGAAAGAAGGGCAGCAGGUUAAUACCUCGCUGUUUUGACGGUACCCAAAGAAUAAGCACCGGCUAACUUCGUG